rnacentral:rRNA from 1 species
GUCUAUACAUGCAGUCGAGCGGACCGACGGGAGCUUGCUCCCUUAGGUCAGCGGCGGACGGGUGAGUAACACGUGGGUAACCUGCCUGUAAGACUGGGAUAACUCCGGGAAACCGGGGCUAAUACCGGAUGCUUGAUUGAACCGCAUGGUUCAAUCAUAAAAGGUGGCUUUUAGCUACCACUUACAGAUGGACCCGCGGCGCAUUAGCUAGUUGGUGAGGUAACGGCUCACCAAGGCGACGAUGCGUAGCCGACCUGAGAGGGUGAUCGGCCACACUGGGACUGAGACACGGCCCAGACUCCUACGGGAGGCAGCAGUAGGGAAUCUUCCGCAAUGGACGAAAGUCUGACGGAGCAACGCCGCGUGAGUGAUGAAGGUUUUCGGAUCGUAAAACUCUGUUGUUAGGGAAGAACAAGUACCGUUCGAAUAGGGCGGUACCUUGACGGUACCUAACCAGAAAGCCACGGCUAACUACGUGCCAGCAGCCGCGGUAAUACGUAGGUGGCAAGCGUUGUCCGGAAUUAUUGGGCGUAAAGCGCGCGCAGGCGGUUUCUUAAGUCUGAUGUGAAAGCCCCCGGCUCAACCGGGGAGGGUCAUUGGAAACUGGGGAACUUGAGUGCAGAAGAGGAGAGUGGAAUUCCACGUGUAGCGGUGAAAUGCGUAGAGAUGUGGAGGAACACCAGUGGCGAAGGCGACUCUCUGGUCUGUAACUGACGCUGAGGCGCGAAAGCGUGGGGAGCGAACAGGAUUAGAUACCCUGGUAGUCCACGCCGUAAACGAUGAGUGCUAAGUGUUAGAGGGUUUCCGCCCUUUAGUGCUGCAGCAAACGCAUUAAGCACUCCGCCUGGGGAGUACGGUCGCAAGACUGAAACUCAAAGGAAUUGACGGGGGCCCGCACAAGCGGUGGAGCAUGUGGUUUAAUUCGAAGCAACGCGAAGAACCUUACCAGGUCUUGACAUCCUCUGACACCCUAGAGAUAGGGCU